rnacentral:snRNA from 3 species
UUACUUACCUGGACGGGGUCGCCGGCCGAUCAAGAAGGGGUGUUGCCUAGGUCAAUGACUCGCAUUGCACUUGGCGAGCGCGUUGGUCUAUCAUCUCCCCUCGGGGGAGAGUAAACGCCGUAGUUUAUGAUAGAGGAGGUACGUGGCCUCUG